AGGCUUACAUUUUGAUACUAGAAUCCAAUUAGUAUGAUUCUACUUUCAAGGGAUAACUCAUGAAACUUUAUUUACAAAGUAUAGAGGCUGUGACAGUGACAUAAGUGUUAUCGUUAGAAUAUCUUCGUCUGGUUUUGCAGCACUUUAUCCCUUCAUCAACUGUCAGUUCGGAUCUGACAAACGUGUUUUAUACCUCUGUGUCGUGUGGCCAACAAAACUCACCACCGUUUCAGCAAUCUUCCUGCCAUUCCUACCUACCAACCAACACACAUAGACAUGGACCCAAAAACCAUUUUCCUGUGGACUGCCAAGUCUUUACUUUCUUCUUCGUAAUUCCUGGCCCCACAAUCUUUUUCGUCUUCGGUUAACAGCUAGCUAGGGCAUUUUCCUUUUUUGUCCCAUGUAAAAAGACCUUCAAGAUUCCAGUUUCUAAGUAUUAAUUCUCUCAAGCCAUGUAAACGUAGCGCCAUGACAGCAAAAUGAAAAAAAAAGUGAUGGAAUGCCGAAUAGUAAAUAAGCAGUGGCAUGUAGGAGAUCAUCGUGGAACAUCGUGCAAAAUGUUGUUGUAUGGCCCGUCUUCGCCUCGUGGUCGCGCCAUCUUCGCCUCGCCCGUCGUCCCGUCUUCGCCUCGCCCGUCGUCCCGUCUUCGCCUCGCCCGUCGUCCCGUCUUCGCCUCGCCCGUCGUCCCGUCUUCGCCUCGCCCGUCGUCCCGUCUUCGCCUCGCCCGUCGUCCCGUCUUCGCCUCGCCCGUCGUCCCGUCUUCGCCUCGCCCGUCGUCCCGUCUUCACCUA